AAAUCCUCGAUUAGUCUCUGGGCGUGUGUGUUCACUUUAUAUAUAUAGGUGUCUGUUCAUAUACAUGAGUAGCCUACAAACCAAUAAUUUAUAAUUGGACAGUAAAUUGUAGAAUGCGAUAAUUUUCAGCUGCCCUGCUUUGGUUGCGAAGUGGAACCUUUUAUUUCAUUUUAACUGUAAAUGUAGGACAUCUUAUCAGGUUUUGGAUUCUAUGAACCAACUGUGUCUUAUUGACUUCUCUAAUGCUUGCAUUGUCCGUCAUUUAGUUGGACAAUAUCAGCUUCAAAAAGAGCAGCAUAAUUAUUGGUUCAUGUGAAGAAGGCAUCUGUAAUUUCAACCAGCAUUACAACUUUCUUUUACCUCUGCUGUGCAGGCUUUGUCUCUAAGACGACUAUGACAAUUAUAUCUCCUCUGGAGAGCAGCCUAUAUGAUAACCCUCAAUGCUGGCAAUUAGUGGUGGACCUUUCUUCGCUUGAUGUAUACUUAAUAAUAUGAAAGUCACAAUGUACUUCCUGGGAGAGAUUUCGGGGAUUUCAGACAAAAACAGGGAUCCCAAUGUUCGUCUUUCUCGACCCCUGGAUAAUUGUAGCAGAGUUGGCACGCCUUUGUUUAGUCACAGCUUACAAGAUAAUCUUUCUUUACGUGUAAAACAUAAUGUUGAUACUACUCCAUCACGUCAUGAUUUGAACAAAAAACCUCAUCCAGGUUAUAUUCCUCACCUGUCCACUGCAUAUUCUCUCAAAUGAGAAAAUAUCAGCUUGCAUUGUCCGUCAUUUAGUUGGACAAUAUCAGCUUCAAAAAGAGCAGCAUAAUUAUCACCAAUAUCAGCUUCAAAAAUGUUUAUUAAGUAUAUGUGUAUUUUUAUUGAUUUAUAUAUAGAGUGACAGUCAUAAUCUGAAGUAUAUUGGUAUUGAUCCACUUGGUAGAUUAAUAAAGAUAAGUCCAGAAAUUGUUGAGCACCAGCUGGCUGGAGGUAAGGAUGUCACCAAUAUUUCUUUGAGUGUUUAAAGUCCUCUUACUCUGACAAAUAUUGUUAACCCAUUAUCUGCCCUUCCUUUUUUACAAAAAGAAAAAACAAUACAAACAAGUGCCCUCUUAUGUCCUUUUGACACAAUCUGAAUAGUCCACUUAAUGUUGGUAAUAGUUUUUGUUUGAUUCCUAAUGUUGUUUUUGAUGAAGUUUUCAAUGUUCUGCACGUGACCGAAGAUUUAGAGACUUAGUUUGCAAGACAUAAUCAUUCAUUUCUUCUCUGCAUGUUCCGUUAGGAGUCUGCAGUAGCCAAUGUUAGUUGCCAUUGAUGGAUGGCAACUUUUUUCUCCUUCAUAUGUAUUUAUCAAGUAUGCCUGGCCAGAUUUGUAAUGCUAAUUUCUUGGGAUUCCAUUCUAUGUGAGCUGAUAUUUAUAUUUCUAUAUUUCAUUUAGUGUUUAUUUACAAAAUUACAAAUUUCAGUUUUCAGAGUUUUCAGUAUAUAACAUUGUAGAAAUAAAUCUCUAUUAAAAUAGAUUUCCAUAAGUGGAUUUUGUAGGUUUGGGUUUUCUUUGUUGGCGGAUUUUUGAGUUAUGUUGUUUUCUGUGUUGUUCUGCAGUUUGUUUCUUUUAUCUGCUUUUAGGUAUUGUGGAGCUAUGGUAUUUUACUGCAAUUUUCAACAAAUAACAAAUUGUCGCAUGUUGUUCUGCUGUUGCCCUAAUUGUGAUUUUGAUCUGGAAAUGCAAAAUUGGUAUCGGGGUUGUUGCUAUUUUAAUGGCAUGGUGAAGUUGAUGAGGUCUCAGUCCAUUUGGAGUGAUUUAUACAUGCUGUCAAGAAAUUUGUUGAUGACUGGAGUCAUGUUGGCUGGACAAUUGUGAUUUUUUUUCUUUAGUUUCUUGGCUGAGGAUUUUCUGAGCAUGUAUGUUCUGGUGGUGCUGCAGGUUUUGUGGGUUUUUCAUUGGUUGUGUUUCGAAGGUUUUUUUAGUUCUGUUAGGUGGGGUUUCUCUCGAGAAUUUGGUAAGGCUGGUAGUAUUUUUUUGUUGCUUUCCAUAUUUCUGGAUCUCUUUACCGUGUUUACAAUGUUUUCAGCAAAUGGAGCUCUUUCUGCUGAGGCAAGGUUGGCAAAGGUUAAGGUGGAUGCCGAUUUUAUUGCUCCGUGCGAUACUUCGAUCCUUUAUCCCACCGACGGAGGUAAUAUGCACUGCUUUACAGUUGUAACACAAUGUGCAGUGCUAGAUGUACUUGGACCACCAUACAAUGAUGCCGAAGGGAGGCACUGUGCCUACUAUAUAGAGCACCCACUUGACCAUAUUUCAGAUUACAGAGCUCAGCGGCAUCAGACAAUAUAUAAAUACCGAAGAUAGGCGUGUUUCUAAAACAUGCAAGACAAGUGAAGCGGCUGGACAUGGUUCAUCUAAUACGCAAGGACAAAAUUCCUCCAUCAGACACACAUCAUACACUCUGGAUAUGCAGUCUAUAAUAGGUCACCAAUAAAUUUUGUUUAUUCGAGUCGGGACAAAGAAAGACUAAAUAAAGACUAAAUUAAAAAGCAGUACACGGUACCUCAUCUGGAGUUGGGAAUUUGAUGGAUACAAUGAAGCAGAUGAUACUAUGAUAGUCAUUUAUAUGAGGAAGGAGCCGAAGAAUUUUAUAUGUUGAGGAAGAGCCGGAUGUUGAUACUUCUUGGGAAGGAUACAUGAAUCCUGGUCCUCCACUGGUGUUUGCAAGUAGUGUGGUUCAUGUACAUGGAUUAUGGAGCGAAAUAAUAAAUCAAAUAAAAUGCUACUCCAACAUUUUUCUCUUUGCUGCAAAAAUGGUCAUCUUAAAUUUCAUCCGGAAGAACAGCCUCCCGAGCCUCUUGCUUCCUUCUAUCUGGUAGUGAACAAUCAGCACACUUCAGAAAAAACAUGCAGAUUUAUUCUCCUCUUUUUCUUGAUUAGCCACUUCGGUUGCAGCUAGAUGCUGAGAUGACAAAAUAUGGUUAUAUUUAACCAUAUAAGGGGGAUAUC